ACAAUAAGACUUCCGUAAUUCGCGGCCCGGCCAUAAAGAAGGCGGGGAGAUGAAAAUCUAUGG
rnacentral:ncRNA from 1 species